GUGUCAGCCGCCGCGGUAAUACGUAGGGUGCGAGCGUUAAUCGGAAUUACUGGGCGUAAAGCGUGCGCAGGCGGUUUUGUAAGCCAGCUGUGAAAUCCCCGGGCUUAACCUGGGAAUGGCGGUUGGGACUGCAAGACUGGAGUGCGGCAGAGGGGGGUGGAAUUCCUGGUGUAGCAGUGAAAUGCGUAGAGAUCAGGAGGAACACCGAUGGCGAAGGCAGCCCCCUGGGCCGACACUGACGCUCAGGCACGAAAGCGUGGGGAGCAAACAGGAUUAGAAACCCGAGUAGUCC
rnacentral:rRNA from 1 species